UUACUUACUGCAACCAUUUUAUUGUCAGGUGAUGGCAAUGGCCAAGCCAUCUCUCCCUUCCACGAUAUUCCAUUGUUUGCCAAUACUGAGAAAACAAUCUGCAACAUGGUUGUUGAAGUUCCAAGAUGGACAAAUGCCAAAAUGGAGAUUUCUACAAGGGAAGCCUUGAAUA